UACGGGGGGGGCAAGCGUUGUUCGGAUUCACUGGGCGUAAAGGGUGCGUAGGUGGCGGGGUAAGUCUGAUGUGAAAUCUCCGAGCUUAACUCGGAAACUGCAUCGGAUACUGCCUUGCUCGAGGGUUGGAGGGGGGACUGGAAUACUUGGUGUAGCAGUGAAAUGCGUAGAUAUCAAGUGGAACACCAGUGGCGAAGGCGAGUCCCUGGACAACUCCUGACACUGAGGCACGAAAGCUAGGGGAGCAAACAGG
rnacentral:rRNA from 1 species